CUGUAUUUAAUUAAGCUGACUGGGUUCCUUUACUCAUGAGAACCCACUGUGCAAUGGCUGUAAACAACAAUAUCUUCAGUAAUAUAUGUAGCCUGUUGCUGUAUGGGUUGCCCUAAGGGAUCUUGGAGACUGCU